AAGGGUGGUGGUGGUAGUGGUGGUGGUGGAGAAGGAGGGUUGCGUAAUGGAAGACGAGCUUGGGUAGAGCGAGGGGGUGAAGACUGGAUGAGGAGGAGGCGUGUUGUCGUGGUGGUGGUGAUGGUGCGCGUUCUCCCUCCUCUCUUGGUUCUUGCUGCCCCGAGGCCGCCCUGGACCGUGGCGACUCUUUUUGUUGCCGCGGUGCCGUCUCUCUCGCGUCAGAGUUGCGGGGCUGCUUUUGCCCUCUUGGUCCGCCUCUUCCGGAAUGGGCGGCGUGCUCAGCUGAGAGAGCUUGCACAGAGACUUCGAGGGUUUGUAGUCGACCGUGGAGAGCUUGCGGAUCUUACUGCUGCUACCCAGCGCGGAUGUGGAGGUGAUGCGCAUGAUGGAUCCAAAAGUUGAAAUUGUGACCUUGUUCUCAAAGGGGCUCGAGGUCCCAUCCGACUGAUCGUGACCCUGCAACCUCGCGAGUUGGCCUUCAGUGGGAGUCAAUGCUGGCGGCUUGUGCCUCCUCCUGGACCGCGAGCCUCCUGUGACGCGCUUUGCGAUCCUCGCUACUAUGGUCACGCUCCAGACGGGGGGAGGAGAACUGAUGAAAAUCUGUAGCUGUAGACAAGAAUCCACCUUCAUGAGAAACACAAAGCCAAAAAGCACACCUAAUUGUUGCGCAGAUACCUGCAUUAAAUGGACUGGACGAGCAGGAAGAGGAGGAGCAGCUCUUGCCGCUGCUUACGGUUUUCUUACUGCGAUGACUGUGUAAGCUGAGCUUCUUGGACUUUCCCUCACUGUCUUUGGGGCUGUGAUGACUAGAAGAGAGCUAACCCAGCACACAUACAUACAAACACAAAGUUAGUUAGUUAGACCUCUCACAAAUAGGCUAAAAUACCAACAACAGUGAAGUGGAAGUUCUUGCCAAAAAAAAUUAUAUUGUAUCCUUGCUGUGUAGUUAAGCAAGUUUUAAGAGCAUGUUUCCUAUUUUCCAUGUGAUCUUUCUUCAUCAUUUCCAGUGAUUUCCAUGCAUUUAUCUGCAGUGGGCCGCCACAAAUAUAUUUGGCGGUAUUCGGUAAGUUUUGGAUGGCAAUGACUGGAAAUUUGCAGUGAUACAAAUACAUGAUAGCACAUCUUGUUCAAAGCUUAAUCUAAUACAGUUUAAGGUUGUCCAUCACAUAUAUUUUACUUACGCUAGACCAGGGGUCUCAGACAAGAGGCCCAAUUGCGGCCCGCGAGCCGUAAUUUUGCGGCCCGAACCUUAAUAUGAAAGUUUAAUAUUAGUGCGACCGGCGAGUUUUAUAUGAAUGGCACUUGACAGCCUUGUGUUAUUUGGGUCCACAAUGGCUCUUUCAACGUUCUGGGUUGCCUACCUCUGCGUUAGUGGAAAAGCGGCAAAUGAGUGAAAGCGACAGAGACGUUGCCACGGAGAGGAGAGUUUUCCUACGUGCCUGGCUGCAGUCACACCGCGACACCUGUCCAUCAGUAAUAAUAGUCCCUGAUAACCUGAACCAAUUCAAACCGUUUUUUUUUUUUAAUUAUUGUUUAAUUUGCAUUGCCUCACACGAUGAACAUUACAUAUAUUUCUAUAUGACAACGGAUAACACUCGGGACCCGUCACUUUUUUGCGCUCGCUAUCCCGGUACUUUCCUGGCUAUUAUCCGCGGACCGCCGCAUUGCUGUAGGGAGGAAAAGCGGAACGACAAACAUUGCGGAAAUAACAUUAUUCUCUGUGCGUCGGCUAAAUACAAAUAUAUUCCACAACCCCAAACAUGUCUUUUUCAAAGCUGUAGUGUAGAGAAAGGUUAGUUAUGAACAAAGACAAUUCCAGGAAAAGUGGGAGAUGCAAUAUUUCCGACGUGUCUUAUUUGCACAGAGAAAGUUGCGGUUCUCAAGGGAUACAUUUUGAAAGGUCAUUAUACAACUAGAAAUGCUGAGGAGUAUGCACAAUGUUUUUUAAGAAAUAUUUUCUUGCGGCCGAGCCUCACCCAGACUCUGCAUCCAGUGGCCCCCAGGUAAAUUGAGUUUGAGACCCCUGCGCUAGACUUUCCGAAAUGUAUGCCAAUAUUGCAGAUACAUGUAAUCCGAUGUCAAUAGACUUCUGCCAACAUGACACACGUUCUGGUCAUGUACCUGUAAUUGCACGCACAGGGGUGCUUUAAUUAGAGAUGUCCUGCCGAUAUUAUCGGCGGAUAAAUGCUUUAAAAUGUAACAUCGGAAAUCAUUGGUAUCGGUUUCAAAAAGUAAAAUAUAUGACUUUUUAAAACGCCGCUGUACGGAGUGGUACAGGGACGUGGGGAGAAUUACAAAGCAGUUACAUCUCCCAGUCAUACUUGCCAAAACUCCCGAUUUUCCCGGGAGACUCACGAAUUUCAGAAUCUCCCGGGGCAACCAUUCUCCUGAAUUUCUCCCGAUUUCCACCCUGACAACAAUAUUGGGGGCGUGCCGUAAAGGCACUGCAUUUGCGUGGCGGCCUAAUCACAAUAUCUACGGCUCUUCACACACACAAGUGAAUGCACACUUGAUCAACAGCCACACAGGUCACACUGAGGGUGGCCGUAUAAACAACUUUAACACUGUUACAAAUAUGCGCCACACUGUGAACCCAAACCAAACAAGAAUGACAAACACGUUUCGGGAGAACAUCCGCACCGUAACACAACAUAAACACAACAGAACAAAUACCCAGAACCCCUUGCAGCAUUAACUUUUCCGGUACGCUACAAUAUAUACCCACUGCUAUCCCCCCACCACAACCCUGACCACCUCAACCUCCUCAUGCUCUCUCAGGGAGAGCAUGUCCAAAAUUCCAAGCUGCUGUUUUGAGGCAUGUUAAAAAAAAUAAUGCACUUUGUGACUUCAAUAAUAAAUAUGGCAGUGCCAUGUUGGCAUUUUUUUCCAUAA